rnacentral:rRNA from 1 species
GUGAGGAAUAUUGCGCAAUGGAGGCAACUCUGACGCAGCCAUGCCGCGUGCAGGAAGAAGGCGCUACGCGUUGUAAACUGCUUUUAACCGGGAAGAAACCCCAGGACGUGUCCUGGGUUGACGGUACCGGAGGAAUAAGCACCGGCUAACUUCGUGCCAGCAGCCGCGGUAAUACGAAGGGUGCAAGCGUUAUCCGGAUUCAUUGGGUUUAAAGGGUGCGUAGGCGGAGCGUUAAGUCAGUGGUGAAAUCCUGCAGCUUAACUGUAGACUUGCCAUUGAUACUGGCGCUCUUGAGUGCGCUUGAAGUGGGCGGAAUGUGCCGUGUAGCGGUGAAAUGCUUAGAUAUGGCACAGAACACCAAUUGCGAAGGCAGCUCACUAAGGCGAUACUGACGCUGAGGCACGAAAGCGUGGGGAUCGAACAGGAUUAGAUACCUGGUAGUCC